rnacentral:rRNA from 1 species
UAAUACGUAGAUGGCGAGCGUUAUCCGUAUUUAUUGGGCGUAAAGAGGGCGCAGGCGGCUUUUCAAGUCGGAUGUAAAAUCUCCCAGCUUAACUGGGAGGGACCAUUCGAUACUGUUAGGCUAGAGGGCAGCAGGGGGAGGUAGAAUUCCCGGUGUAGUGGUGAUAUGCGUAGAUAUCGGGAGGAAUACCAGCGGCGAAGGCGGCCUCCUGGGCUGUUGCUGACGCUUAAGCCCGAAAGCGUGGGGAGCAAACAGGAUUAGAUACCCUGGUAGUCCACGCUGUAAACUAUGGACACUAGGUAUAGGGAGUAUCAACCCUCUCUGUGCCGAAGCUAACGCGUUAAGUGUCCCGUCUGGGAACUACGACCGCAAGGCUA